GUAGCGAAGCUAACGCGUUAAGUAUCCCGCUGUGGAGUACGGUCGCAAGACUAAAACAUAAAGGAAUUGACGGGGACCCGCACAAGCGGUGGAGCGUGUUGUUUAAUUCGAUGGUAAGCGAAGAACCUUACCCAGGCUUGACAUCCUUGGAAUUUCUACGAAAGUGGAAAGUGCUUUUAGAGCCAAGUGACAGGUGAUGCAUGGCCGUCGUCAGCUCGUGUCGUGAGAUGUUUGGUUAAGUCCAUCAACGAGCGCAACCCUUGUGAUUAGUUGAAUUUUUCUAAUCAGACUGCCCUGGCAACAGGGAGGAAGGAGGGGAUGAUGUCAGGUCAGUAUUUCCCUUACGUCUGGGGCUACAAACACGCUACAAUGGCCAGUACAAAGGGCAGCCAAGUCGCAAGACGGAGCAAAUCCCAUCAAAGCUGGUCCCAGUUCGGAUAGCAGGCUGAAACUCGCCUGCUUGAAGUCGGAAUCGCUAGUAACGGUAGGUCAGCUAUACUACCGUGAAUACGUUCCCGGGUCUUGUACACACCGCCCGUCAAACCAUGAAAGUCGCCAAUACCUGACGUGUGGCCUUCGCGCCGCCCUAAGGUAGGGGAGAUGAUUGGGGUUAAGUCGUAACAAGGUAACCAAGGG
rnacentral:rRNA from 1 species